rnacentral:lncRNA from 1 species
CUUACAUUCUCUGCCUCUCAUGUCUAGGUCUUCAUCUGGCUCCAAGAAGCCCACCCUGACCACCCUUGUGAACCUGUUUGUGAAGGGCCCAGGCCAGUAGACUGGCCUCGGUGUCUGACGAUGUGACUGGCUGCUCAGAAGACUUCAAGGACCUGUUGUCCUUGCCGACCCCAGAGCCCUUCAGCUGAAGAAACACCUCACCAAACCCUCAGGCUCGUCCGCUGCAGGGGUCCAGUCUAUAUCGGCCUCCUGAUAAGGCAGAGACAGCAGCAGAAGCGGCUACUGGAGAACCGUCGGUGUAGAGCGGAGAUCAGGCGCAGAGUACUCCAGAACUCUGUUAGGGCGGGGGUCCCCGGGGCCCGUCCUCCAGCCCUACUGUCCCCGAAAGCCGCCUCAGUGGUCCCCAGGGCCACCUAGAGCCCUGCUUCCCCCAACACCCCCACACUGGAGGGCCUUCAACGAGGGGGAGGAUAUCUUGUUUUUUGAUGACACACUUCUCUCUCCCCCAGCAGCACUAAG